rnacentral:lncRNA from 1 species
UUACGUUGAAAUGAUAAUGAGUCCAAUAUGUUUAUGAUCAUUGGAGGCGAUACACGCCUGGUGCUCAUCGGCUAUUGGAAUUGUCACUCAAUUAAUGAUGAAUCGGUUGCAUCCAUUAAAUAGGUGGUCAGGUGAGCCGAGCCACACUCGGGCUUGGUCAUCUACUGAUGUGAUGAACUUAAUGCAGCAAGUUGAUGGUUGGACCUGACCAGGUUUUUCAGUGGAGGUGACACACACCUGCUGAAGCGGCCUGUGGCAAAAGGAUAUUACUGGGAGUUGUUUGGUGAAACAAUUGGUUAUGAACCUACCCUUAGAAACAGAUGGGUUAGCCGAGACACACUCGGGCCCAUCUGUAGUCUAUGUGGAUUCCGGUACCCACUAAAGAAUUAGGAGUAAUUCUUCGGAUUAAAGUAGAGGCUAUUGAUUCGUACAAAAUGGUGGGAGGAUCUUUGGACUAAAAUCCAAAUUUCUUGAUUAUAUUGAUUCAUUUACUGAUUAGGCUUUGUUGUCAUUCUUUGUAGAAAUGGCCACUCAAUUGUCACUUAGGUUAUUAGUUAGAUAAUGAUAAGUUGACCGGUCCCAACUUUUCAAUCUGGCUUAGAAAGCUUAAGAUCGUCCUAGAACACGAGAGGACCAUGUAUAUAAUUACUGAUCCG